CGCCGAUUCCUGCUUCUCCAAACAGGGUACGAUUUCUUAUUCUUCUCCGGACAAGGAAAGACCCCUUUUGACAUCAAGUGAAUUGUUGUGCUAUUCUUUUCAGUUCUCAAUGGCAGACGAGGAACCUGUUGAUCAAAAGAAGUAUCUUGAGGAAUCUUGCAAGCCUAAAUGUGUGAAGCCCCUGCUUGAAUAUGAGGCAUGUGUUAAGAGGAUUAAAAGUGACGAUACUGGGCACAAGCACUGCACAGGACAGUACUUUGACUAUUGGUCUUGUAUUGAUAAAUGUGUGGCACUAAAACUAUUCUCAAAACUGAAGUAAUUAGGAGACGGUUGGGCAGCUCUUUCAUUAUGUCUGUACUAUUUGCAACAUCAGCUGAAUUUUGUCAGAAGUUGUCUUGGAUUGCUUGAAGCAUCCCUUAAUAAUUGUGAAACCUUUUUGACUUUAGAAUAAAGGAAGUUAUCUUGAAUUGCU
rnacentral:misc_RNA from 1 species